rnacentral:rRNA from 1 species
AUGAUUGGCAUGCAUCUAGAUGGACGAUCCUUGGCACCCUGUACAGUCACUCCCACAGUUGUCACUGUUUGUAAAAAGCCUCGUCCAAGCAUUUUUGGAUAUCUUAGCACAUGUAACGUGACAUGUCUAGAUGGAUCAUCAUCAUCACAGUUGCCACAGUUGCGUUGUGAAGGCUCACUGUUUGUAAAAAGCCUCGUACAAGUUUUUUUUUUUAAUAUAUACCUUAGUAUGUGUGACAUGGGUGUGCUUUUAGGGGCCUCAUCUUAUGCAUUUUCAAAAUUUCAGCUUGAUUUGUGUCCAUUUCACAUUGUUGGCAUUUUUCCGAUUGCUGUGGAGUGUGGUGGACUCUUUGAUUGGUGA